GUGGCGUUGCGGGCCUGCGGAUGUGGGACGGCGUGCGCCUGCGCACCAGCUGGUUUUUUCUCCUUGGGCGGUUUCGCGCACGCCCCCAGGGCUGACAGGUACUGCACAGAUGAGACUGAAGUUCCACGUUCUAAAGCCAGAAGCUGCAUCUGAAAUGUUGCAUAGAAAACUGCUCAUUGGCUGGGCGCGGUGGCUCACACCUGUAAUCUCAGCACUUUGGGAGACUGAGGCGGGCGGACCACGAGGUCAGGAGAUGGAGACCAUCCUGGCUAACACAGUGAAACCCCGUCUCUACUUAAAAUACAAAAAAUUAGCCGGGCGUGGUGGUGGGUGCCUGUAGUCCCAGCUACUCGGGAGGUAGAGGCAGGAGAAUGGUGUGAACCCGGGAGGCGGAACUUGCAGUGAGCCGAGAUCACGCCACAGCACUCCAGCCUGGGCGACAGAGUGAGACUCCAUCUCAAAAAAAAAAAAACAAACAAAAAACUUAGGUGGGCAUGGUGGCAGGCACCUGUAAUCCCAGCUACUUGGGAGGCUGAGGCACGAAAAAUCGCUUGAAACCAGGAGGCAGAGGUUGCAGCGAGCUGAAAUUGCACCAUUGCACUCCAGCCUGGGCGACAGAGCGAGACUCCAUCUCAAUUAAAAACAACAACAACAACAACAAACUGCUCAUUACAUAAAGAUCCAAUCUGGUAAUAUAAAUUUUAUUUUAUUAAGAUAUAUACUUAGCACUUUGAAUUGCUUCAAACAUAAUUUGAGGGGAACAAAGACUUAUUGGCUUGUUGGUUUUAAGAACUGAAUUUGCCUAGGCAUUAGAAAAAGUACAGAAAGCUCCCCAGAGCAGUCUAGAGCCCAGCAGUCGCAGGCCCCUAGGCCAUUUGAGUUAUAGGACAGAAGGUGGGGGUGUCAGUGAACACUAUUCCUUCUGAGUGUCUGUCAAUGGAGGUUGCAUGUGAAACAGGAAAGAGGUUUGCUGAGGCUCUAUGUUUAUGUUUGCCUUUUCUUCAACUGGAGACUGAAGUUUGAGAAUAGCAAGUAAGCACGUAAUCAUUCUCCUAGAUCUCAUUACUUGAGAUCUUUUUUUUUUUUUUUUUUGAGACAGGGUCUGGCUCUGUUGCCCAGGCUGGAGUGCAAUGGGACAAUCUCAGCUCACUGCAACCUCUGCCUCCCAGGCUCAAACCAUCUUCCCAUCUAAGCCUCCCAGGUAGCUGGGACCACAGCCGUGUGCCACCAUGGUGGGGUAAUUUUUGUAUUUUUGGUAGAGACAGGGUUUCGCCAUGUCACCCAGGCUGGUCUUGAAUUCCUAGCUUCAAGCAAUCCUCCUGCCUCAGCCUCCCAGAGUAAAGGCGUGAGCCACUGUGCUUGGCCUGAGAUAAUUUCUUAAGAUGAUGUAUAAUACCUCCCGCAAUGAUAGCUUCCCCGAUGUAACACCUCCUGCAAGUUGUCCUGAGCUAUUUUAAGCUGUAAUCAGAAUAUAUUGAAGAUUCAACAUUUUUAUUGUCCUUGUCCUGUACCCCCAGCAAUAAAAAAAAAAAAAAGACUUAAAAAAAUUAUGGGGCCUAUCGGCUGGGUGUGGUGGCUCAUGCCUGUAAUUGCAGCACUUUGGGAGGCUGAGGUGGGCGGAUCACCUGAGGUCGGGAGUUCAAGACCA
rnacentral:lncRNA from 10 species